UGAGAAACGAGUUGGGAUGUGAGCUUUUGCUAGCAGUCAAAUGGCGAUACAAUCGACGGAUAACGUGAUAUUGAGAGGUUGAGGUAGUAGUGCACACAUCUACAUUUUGGCAGAGACAGAGGUCGACAGAG
ensembl:ncRNA R90.8 ncRNA